CAGGUUUACCUGUGUGACUGCGUACCUUUUGUAUAAUGGGUCAGCGACUUAUAUUCUGUAGCAAGGUUAACCGUAUAGGGGAGCCGGAGGGAAACCGAGUCUUAAUUGGGCGUUAAGUUGCAGGGUAUAGACCCGAAACCCGGUGAUCUAGCCAUGGGCAGGUUGAAGGUUGGGUAACACUAACUGGAGGACCGAACCGACUAAUGUUGAAAAAUUAGCGGAUGACCUGUGGCUGGGGGUGAAAGGCCAAUCAAACCGGGAGAUAGCUGGUUCUCCCCGAAAGCUAUUUAGGUAGCGCCUCGUGAAUUCAUCUCCGGGGGUAGAGCACUGUUUCGGCUAGGGGGCCAUCCCGGCUUACCAACCCGAUGCAAACUGCGAAUACCGGAGAAUGUUAUCACGGGAGACACACGGCGGGUGCUAACGUCCGUCGUGAAGAGGGAAACAACCCAGACCGCCAGCUAAGGUCCCAAAGUCAUGGUUAAGUGGGAAACGAUGUGGGAAGGCCCAGACAGCCAGGAUGUUGGCUUAGAAGCAGCCAUCAUUUAAAGAAAGCGUAAUAGCUCACUGGUCGAGUCGGCCUGCGCGGAAGAUGUAACGGGGCUAAACCAUGCACCGAAGCUGCGGCAGCGAACGUAUCAC
rnacentral:rRNA from 1 species